rnacentral:rRNA from 1 species
CGACAGAAUUCCCCAUCGUCGGUUCUGAAGGAGUGGAUUCAGACCACCUGGAUUCGACCGGCAGAUCUAUCCGGGCAGCAGUGGGCAAUUGCACACAAUGGCGCAAGCUGAUGCAGCCAUGCGCGGUAUGGAGAGGCUUCGGUGUAAGUACUUUCAGUCCGGGAGGAAGGUGUCAAGGUUAAUAACCUUGCAUUGACGUUACCGACAGAAGAAGCACCGGCUAACUCCGUGGCAGCAGCCGCGGUAACCGGAGGGUGCAAGCGUUAAUCGGAAUUACUGGGCGUAAGCGCACGCAGGCGGUUGAUUGAGUCAGAUGUGAAAUCCCCGGGCUUAACCCGGGAAUUGCAUCUGAUACUGGUCAGCUAGAGUCUUGUAGAGGGGGGUAGAAUUCCAUGUGUAGCGGUGAAAUGCGUAGAGAUGUGGAGGAAUACCGGUGGCGAAGGCGGCCCCCUGGACAAAGACUGACGCUCAGGUGCGAAAGCGUGGGGAGCAAACAGGAUUAGAUACCCUGGUAGUCCACGCUGUAAACGAUGUCGACUUGGAGGUUGUGCCCUUGAGGCGUGGCUUCCGGAGCUAACGCGUUAAGUCGACCGCCUGGGGAGUACGGCCGCAAGGUUAAAACUCAAAUGAAUUGACGGGGGCCCGCACAAGCGGUGGAGCAUGUGGUUUAAUUCGAUGCAACGCGAAGAACCUUACCUACUCUUGACAUCCAGAGAACUUAGCAGAGAUGCUUUGGUGCCUUCGGGAACUCUGAGACAGGUGCUGCAUGGCUGUCGUCAGCUCGUGUUGUGAAAUGUUGGGUUAAGUCCCGCAACGAGCGCAACCCUUAUCCUUUGUUGCCAGCGCGUGAUGGCGGGAACUCAAAGGAGACUGCCGGUGAUAAACCGGAGGAAGGUGGGGAUGACGUCAAGUCAUCAUGGCCCUUACGAGUAGGGCUACACACGUGCUACAAUGGCGUAUACAAAGGGAAGCGACCCCGCGAGGGCAAGCGGAACUCAUAAAGUACGUCGUAGUCCGGAUUGGAGUCUGCAACUCGACUCCAUGAAGUCGGAAUCGCUAGUAAUCGUAGAUCAGAAUGCUACGGUGAAUACGUUCCCGGGCCUUGUACACACCGCCCGUCACACCAUGGGAGUGGGUUGCAAAAGAAGUAGGUAGCUUAACCUCCGGGAGGGCGCUUACCACUUUGUGAUUCAUGACUGGGGUGAAGUCGUAACAAGGUAACCA